rnacentral:rRNA from 2 species
UUGAGGGCAAGUCUGGUGCCAGCAGCCGCGGUAAUUCCAGCUCCAAUAGCGCAUAUUAAAGUUGUUGCAGUUAAAAGCUCGUAGUUGAAUUUCGGGAUCAAUAUAACGGUCAUGCCGUUGGUAUGCACUGUUAUAAUUGAUUUCUCACCUUCUAAAGAACCGUAAUGCCAUUAAUUUGGUGUCACGGGGAAUUAGGACUGUUACCUUGAAAAAAUUAGAGUGUUUAAAGCAGGCUCACGCUUGAAUACAUUAGCAUGGAAUAAUAGAAUAGGACUUUGGUUCUAUUUUGUUGGUUUCUAGGACCGAAGUAAUGAUUAAUAGGGAUAUUGGGGGCAUUAGUAUUUAAUUGUCAGAGGUGAAAUUCUUGGAUUUAUUGAAGACUAACUACUGCGAAAGCAUUUGCCAAGGAUGUUUUCAUUAAUCAGGAACGAAAGUUAGGGGAUCGAAGACGAUCAGAUACCGUCGUAGUCUUAACCAUAAACUAUGCCGACUAGGGAUCGGAUGAUGUUAAUUUUUUAAUGACUCAUUCGGCGCCUUACGGGAAAC